rnacentral:rRNA from 1 species
UGUCUAGGGGCUCAAACCUAAAGAACCCAAAUAUCUAAACGGAGAAAUUCAAUAUUACCGUUAAAGUAAUGUGCACUUUUCUCUUAGUAAGACGCCGUGAUCCAUUAGAAAUUGGUAUACGCCAGUAUACAGUAGGUCAUCAAUAGGCCAGUGUGAAGUUUAUUGGAACAAAUGGCAUGGCCUUUCACGGUUGUGUGUAUUGUCUGGUAAGCGCAUUGAUGACUGUCUGAUGGAUUUUAGAGACUGUGUCCGAUCAACGGCGGUUAAAUUUGGGAUACCUUUUGGACCCGUCUUGAAACACGGACCAAGGAGUCUAUCUAGUAUGCGAGUAAAUGGAUAAUUUUGAAAUCUAUUUGCAUAAUAAACUUGACUGUUUAUGGGACUACGAUUAAUAACUUUGCGGUUAUUUUUCUUCCAUCCCGGGGUAUUUUCAUCUAUAUGGAAAAUAUACCAUGAGCACACUGGAUACGACCCGAAAGAUGGUGAACUAUGCCUGAUCAGGUCGAAGUCAGGGGAAACCCUGAUGGAGGACCGAAGCAGUUCUGACGUGCAAAUCGAUUGUCAGAAUUGGGCAUAGGGGCGAAAGACCAAUCGAACCAUC